CCCCUAGUAACUGCGAGUGAAGCGGGAAAAGCUCAAAUUUAAAAUCUGGCAGUCUUUGGCUGUCCGAGUUGUAAUCUAGAGAAGUGUUAUCUGCGCUGGACCGUGUACAAGUCUCCUGGAAUGGAGCGUCAUAGAGGGUGAGAAUCCCGUCUUUGACACGGACUACCAGGGCUUUGUGAUGCGCUCUCAAAGAGUCGAGUUGUUUGGGAAUGCAGCUCAAAAUGGGUGGUAAAUUCCAUCUAAAGCUAAAUAUUGGCGAGAGACCGAUAGCGAACAAGUACCGUGAGGGAAAGAUGAAAAGAACUUUGGAAAGAGAGUUAAACAGUACGUGAAAUUGCUGAAAGGGAAACGCUUGAAGUCAGUCGCGUUGUCCAGGGAUCAACCUUGCUUUUGCUUGGUGCAUUUCCUGGUUGAYGGGUCAGCGUCAAUUUUGAUUAUUGGAAAAAGAUCAAGGGAAUGUGGCAUCUUUGGAUGUGUUAUAGCCCUUGGUUGCAUACAAUAGUUGGGAUUGAGGAACUCAGCACGCCGCAAGGCCAGGUUUUUAACCAUGUACGUGCUUAGGAUGCUGGCAUAAUGGCUUUAAUCGACCCGUCUUGAAACACGGACCAAGGAGUCUAACAUGCCUGCGAGUGUUUGGGUGGAAAACCCGAGCGCGCAAUGAAAGUGAAAGUUGAGAUCCCUGUCGUGGGGAGCAUCGACGCCCGGACCAGACCUUUUGUGACGGUUCCGCGGUAGAGCAUGUAUGUUGGGACCCGAAAGAUGGUGAACUAUGCCUGAAUAGGGUGAAGCCAGAGGAAACUCUGGUGGAGGCUCGUAGCGAUUCUGACGUGCA
rnacentral:rRNA from 1 species